GGGGAAUAUUGGACAAUGGGCGCAAGCCUGAUCCAGCCAUGCCGCGUGGGUGAAGAAGGCCUUCGGGUUGUAAAGCCCUUUUGUUGGGAAAGAAAAGCAGCCGGCCAAUACCCGGUUGUUCUGACGGUACCCAAAGAAUAAGCACCGGCUAACUUCGUGCCAGCAGCCGCGGUAAUACGAAGGGUGCAAGCGUUACUCGGAAUUACGGGGCGUAAAGCGUGCGUAGGUGGUGGUUUAAGUCCGUUGUGAAAGCCUUGGGCUCAACCUGGGAACUGAGGGGAUUACGGUUCAACUGGAGGGGGGAAGGGGGAGUGGGAAUUCCGGGGUAGGCAGUGAAUUGCGUAGGAGUCGGGAGAAACACAGUGGGGGAGGGCACUUGCCGAGGCAACAAUGGCCACUGGGGACCGAAGGGGUGGGAGCAAACA
rnacentral:rRNA from 1 species